CAUUGGCCAAAGGCCAGAAGAGGUUAUGCGAUGGUAAUGUGUACGUAGUAUGUGGGUCUGUGCGUCCGUGCGUAUGUAAACAAUUUCUUGUUAAUGUGAUACAGUCUUUAGUUUUGAUUGUAUCUCGAUGAAACUUGUACAGUAUUUAGAUAUCAAUUAGAGCUUGGUUCUUUUUGAAAACCAGCAAUAUCCGCCUAUGCAUGCCUAGAUUAUGAGCCUUGAAAGUUUUAAAUUAAAGAAAUGCUAUUUUUAGUUAACUUAUUUUUAGUCUGCAUGAGCAAAUUCUAUUUUUAGCCAAGUUUACAUGUACAUCUAAAUUCAAGGCUAGGAUUAAGGGGGACAAUUUGCUUUUUGGUACUGCAGUUGAUUUUGUGAAUUACCCGGUACUCUGCCCUGUUCUUGUUGAAAGCCCAAUUUUUUUUAGCCCUAAGUGCAUCCAUCUCAGCACAAUUGCCUGUGAAUGUUUGUUCAAAUUGAUCAAUGUUGUCCUCGGAUGCCCUUGACUUUGACCUUUUGACCAACUUUUUUAAAUUUUUAAAACUACAGAAAUUUUUACCAUGAGUACAGUUUUGAAAGCAUUUUUUUGUCAGAUGACUUUUACUUGGCACAUAUUAAAAUAGUUCAUGCAACUAAUCUGCUUACAAUACUUUCUGCGCUCAGAUGUUGAACGUGCAAUGUUUUCAGGUAACCCAAACACAAAAUGUGAACUUUAUGUCUGUUGCCUUUUACCCAUAUAUACAUGCUCUGGAUUAAAAAUGACCACAAGAGCCAUGCCAGUAGAGCAUAGGCCCUUUUGGGCCCCUUGUUUAAAGAAUUAUUUUAUUGCUGUACAAUCAUUGAAGAUAUUGAAACUUCUUAAACUUAUUCACAGUAAUAAUGCUCUUUUUGUAACAAGUUAUAUAACUCAAACUUAAAUACUGUAAGAGUUAAGGCCCUUUGUAACUUUUAAAACAAAUACUUAUUUUUUCAUUUUUUACACCCCACAUUUAAGAUUGUAUUCAUUUGUGGAUGGGAACGCGAUUUUGAUCAUUGUGGCGCUAACGUGAAUAACGAGAAAAAGCGAGAAUCAAAUCGCGCACUCUUUUCCCCUUGAUUUUUCAUGGUAUUUUCGAGCUUAAAACUUAGUUAUUUGUUGUCAACAUAAAAAAAAACACGUCAAUUUCAGCAAUAAACCCUCUGAAACACUAUUUAUUGACGUUUAGUUGAUCAUAACCUUUGAACGUGUGUUUAAUUUACCGAAAGAGUUGGUCAGCUGUUCGGCUUUUGGACUUUGGCAACUACGUUUGUAUGACGGUAAGGUGCAAACAUUUCUGGUCGAUGAUGUAAGGCGUUUUUGAAAUAAAAACAGUAUUAUUUUAUUUUUUUGAAACGAAAGAACAUUGAUCAGAAUAUGCUUGAUCAUGAAAUGGUUGUUUAUAACCGAUAUUUGUUAACAUUCUGACAAACAACGAAGUAACCGAGACACCGUUUCCCAGUUUAUCACGAGGAACAUCCGGUGUUAAACUUCAACGUUUCUUGGUUUAAAUUGUGGAAUUUCAAGUGGAAAGUAGACAUUUUAUCUGGUGGACGAGGCCGAAUUGCCGGGGAAAGGAAGUGACAGUGUCGUGAGCCUGGCCCACCACUACUUUCAGCACUAUGGUGUCGGUGAAAAACAUGCUGAGGUUUAUUUCGAUAAUGCUGUCGGCCAAAACAAGAACAAUGCUGUGCUUUGGUAUGCCAUGUGACCUGUAAUGACAGGAUUGCAUGAGAGUGUAACACUAAACACUAUGUUGGCUGGGCACACCAAAUUUGCUCCUGACUGUCACUUCGGCAACUGGAAGGUCCAGUGGCGAUGUUGUAAUGCCGAGAAUCUUCAAGAAAUUGCCCACACUGUUUUCACCUCUUCAAAGUCCGGCCACAACAUCCCACACUUGGUUUAUGACCCUCAACAGCCAAUCACAGUUCACAGUUGGAAAUCAUUCCUAGAUACAUAUUUCAAAACUCUAAAGAAUAUUACCAAAUACCACCAUUUCUAUGUAUCAAAACAUAAACCAGGAGUUGUAGUAUGCAAAGAGUUUGUAGAUUCCUCAGAAAUUGAAGUUAUUCUUUUGAGGAUGAGUCCAGAAUGUGGUGUUUUGCCUGAAAUAAAGCACGCAACGUGCCUAGAUGCUGAACGUCAAUCGUACCUUCAAUAUUCUUUUGGUCCAUUCUUUAGAUCUGAGUCAUCAAGAUCUGUAGUAUGCCCUAAACCAACUGUGUAAAGUCGAAGUUUACUCAUUUGUUGGUGAAAUGUCGAUUGUAGAUCAAAUGUUUGUGGCAAAUAUGAAAGAAAUGAGUAAAAAAUGGCUUAUCACAUGUAACCAUAGCAACAGGCUGUUGUUUUAUGUAGUUCUUUUAUGUCAUUUUGUACAUAUAAUGAGCAAUGUGUACUCUUUGUGUCUAUGAAUUAGUUUAUGUGUUAGCUAUAACAGACAGUUAAGUUAGUAUUUCGGCAUGGACACUGCAUUUAAAAUAAGAACAUUUUUAGUGGACAUUGUUUUCAAACUGGCUUACCAAUGUGUAACAGAAUGAUCCAUAUCUUUUGAUUUCUUUGUACAAAAAUGACUAGAAACUUUAGUUUUUAUACCUAAGAUACUUGGUAUCAUUUACAUGCCAAUAACUUAAAACGCAUUGUAUAUUGAGAACACAUUAUUUGUGGCAGACUUUGAAAAUGAUUGGAAAUAGCAUUUUCAUUAGUAACCAUAGCAACCGAUUUUUGCUUUGACCUUUGUGGCCAAUUUCUAUGUCAUUAUAGACAUUAGCAAUGUGUACUUGCUAUUUUAAUGUUGAAGUUUAUGUAACACUAGUAAAGAUAAGUGAUAUAUUUAAACAGGUAUCUUGACAUAUAUAUAAUAUUUAAAAUAAGAACAGUUUUGUUCACAUUGUUUUUUAUCCCUGUGUUUCAUAAUGUUUCAUAUGUUUUAUAACUUUUGUGAAAUUUAACGUGAAACUUUAGAGUUAAUUUCUGUAAAUACUUAGUAUCAUAAAGAUGUCAAUAACUUAUAAAUAAAAAAAAAUUAUGCGGACUUUCAAAAAUGAUUGGUAAUAGCAUUUUCAUAAGUAACCAUAGCAACUGAAUUUUGCUUUGACCUUUGUUGUAAGUUUCUUUAUCAUUAUGGACAUUAGCAAUGUAUACUUGUUAUUUUCCUUUUGUAGUGAAUGUGAUACUAGUAAAGAUAGUUUUAUAUAUUAAUAUUUUGACUUGUGUACUUCAUUCAAAAUAAGAACAGAUUUAGCGAACAUUUCGUUCAAAUUGUGUUAAAGCUCUCUGUUACGAAAUGUUCCAUAUCCAUUGUUGUUUUUUUAAUAUUUGACUGACUAGUUCAGAUUUUAUUUCUGCAAUUGCUUGGUAUCAUAAAAAUGUCAAUAACUUAAAACACAACUUUAUGAAAAACAUUAUUUUUUGAGAAACAUUUAGAAAAUGAGUGAAAAUGGCAUUAUCAAUAGUUACCAUAGCAACCAAAUGCACUUAUGAACUUUUCGUUAACUUUUGUAAUCAAACUAUGAGUGCUUAUUGUUUCUAUGCUAAAACUUAUAUGUUACAUGUAAAUAGUCCUUGACAUGAUACUUAUCUGACAUGGAUAUUUCAUUCUAAAUAAACACAUUAGACCAUA